AAAUGCAUAAUCUCCAAAAUUCAGCUUUGCCUUUGUUCCUAUCUGGGAUAUAAGUUUGGCGAAAGCAGAGGUUAUACUUGAAUUGUGGUUUAUGGAUGCUCAAUUAGAUGUACCAAUCAUAUUCAGAAUAUCCUAAUUCACCUUCAAUCUUCCACUAGAGAGUAACCCUUUGUUGGCAAUUGCUUCACUUGCCCACCAGUUAUUUCCUUAGCAAUCUUUUCAAUGGAUGAAGCUUGC
rnacentral:lncRNA from 1 species